rnacentral:ncRNA from 1 species
CUAGUGUCGGCUUGUCGUUGCCAGGCAACGAUCGGCUUUGACAGGCCGUCCU